rnacentral:rRNA from 1 species
UACGGAGGGGGUUAGCGUUGUUCGGAAUUACUGGGCGUAAAGCGCGCGUAGGCGGACCAGAAAGUUGGGGGUGAAAUCCCGGGGCUCAACCCCGGAACGGCCUCCAAAACUCCUGGUCUUGAGUUCGAGAGAGGUGAGUGGAAUUCCGAGUGUAGAGGUGAAAUUCGUAGAUAUUCGGUGGAACACCAGUGGCGAAGGCGGCUCACUGGCUCGAUACUGACGCUGAGGUGCGAAAGUGUGGGGAGCAAACAGU